UGCCUUGUAGCUCAGUUGGUAGAGCGCAGAACUGUUAAUUCUGAUGUCGUUGAUUCGAAUUCAACCGGGGCAGCCA
rnacentral:tRNA from 1 species